AAUGAUUUUUACGAGGUCUUAGUUACGAUUAUUAUCGAGUAUCGAUUACUAUAAAAUAUCGAUAUGUACUAAAUAUCUAUAUCGACUAAUACAUAACCUACAAGUGUCACGUUUUUAUUUAAACCUGUUUAAAAUCAUUUUAUAACAAUGUAAUCUUAUAAAUAAUAGAAACCCUCUUUAUGAGGUGUUUCUCUUUUUUAUACCUUGUGCGCCAUAAACCAUGUAUUUUCCAAAAAAAAAAUUUUCCACAUUAUUAUUCCAAAAUUGUGAGGUAUCGAAACGUUGUCAACCAAUUUUAUAACAUCAAUAAAGACCGUAACUAAGGCCUCGUAAAAAUCAUUAUCCAAAAUAUUCAAUUGUUAAUAAAUAAUUAAAAAAUUAAUUUUUUUAAAAACACAUUUCAGGAAUGUUUUUAAUUCGGCUUUCUGCAAUAGAUUAUGAAAAAAAAAUAUUUUAAAUUUGAAAAGUCAGUUUUAAGUGGCCCAGUUGGGAAAUUUUCACCCAGCAACAAGGUUCCAAUGGCAGCCAAUAAUAAUUGUUUACGUUGGCUUUUGCAGCCGAAGACGUAAACGUGUGAUUUAUCAAAAUGUUGAUAUAUUGUUAAAUAAAUAAAAUAAAAGGCAUAAAAAUUGUUAGAAAAUCCUACACACUCCUAACCCCAUAUUUUCUAACUAUUUUCAAGUGUUUUAUGAUAAUUAUUUCAACUGAAUCUAUUCAGUAUUAUACUAGAAAAGUUACGGACAAAUUAACAUUACAGACCUCUAACAGUCACAUAACUUUAAUGUGUAAAUAACAUUCUAA